rnacentral:rRNA from 1 species
UACAGAGGGUGCAAGCGUUAAUCGGAAUUACUGGGCGUAAAGGGAGCGUAGGCGGUUCGGUAUGUCGAAUGUGAAAGCCCACAACUCAACUGUGGAAAUGCAUUCGAAACUGCCGGGCUAGAGUACUGGAGAGGAGAGCGGAAUUCUUGGUGUAGCGGUGAAAUGCGUAGAUAUCAAGAGGAACACCGGUGGCGAAGGCGGCUCUCUGGACAGAUACUGACGCUGAGGCUCUAAAGUUAGGGGAGCAAACAGGAUUAGAUACCCGGGUA